rnacentral:sRNA from 1 species
AUUCCGGGCACCAGGCUCCGGGCUCUUCAGAGCAUUUGGGGCGGGCGACGGAGGUCCGUCCACUCUCGCUUGGGUGCAGAAGGGCGCGGCGGUGCGGGGAAGCCGCCUUGGAGGCUCCAAGAUUAGCUCAAAUUCAGCGCGGCCAAGCGCAGGUGCGGGGGCGCUCGCCGCCGCCCUGCUUAUCUGGGGACAGUCCCGGAACCCGGGGACCCGGCUCCGCCCCAGCCCGCGCCCUCGCCCACAGGCAGCAGCGAGGCCUCUUCCCCGGCCCCGCCCCAGCCCGCGCCCUCGCCCACAGGCAGCAGCGAGGCCUCUUCCCCGGCCCCGGGAGCCCGUGUCGCGCCCUUCGCUCGCGCGUUCCAGUCCAGGCUACGAGCAGGUAGUGCCUCGGUGCACAACACCAUGCAGCUGAAGCCUGGCAAGCCCAAUGGCUGGAGGAUUCCCUUCAACAGCCAUGAGGGUGGCUGUGGGGCUGCCAUGCGGGCCAUGUGCAUUGGUCUCAGGUUCCCACACCAUAGCCAACUGGACACACUGAUCCAAGUGAGCAUCGAGAGUGGUCGGAUGACCCACCACCACCCAACAGGCUACCUGGGGGCCCUUGCGUCUGCUCUUUUUACAGCCUAUGCUGUGAAUG